rnacentral:rRNA from 1 species
CAGUAGCCGCGGUAAUACGUAGGGUGCGAGCGUUAAUCGGAUUUACUGGGCGUAAAGCGUGCGCAGGCGGCCCGUUAAGGCAGGUGUGAAAUCCCUGGGCUCAACCUAGGAAUUGCGCUUGUGACUGGCGGGCUCGAGUACGGUAGAGGGGGGUGGAAUUCCUGGUGUAGCAGUGAAAUGCGUAGAGAUCAGGAGGAACACCGAUGGCGAAGGCAGCCCCCUGGGCCUGUACUGACGCUCAUGCACGAAAGCGUGGGGAGCAAACAGGAUUAGAUACCCCCGUAGUCCCUGUCUCUUAUAC